UACGAAGGGGGCUAGCGUUGCUCGGAAUGACUGGGCGUAAAGGGCGCGUAGGCGGUUUGUACAGUCAGAUGUGAAAUUCCCGGGCUCAACCUGGGGGCUGCAUUUGAUACGUAUGGACUUGAGUUCGGAAGAGGGUCGUGGAAUUCCCAGUGUAGAGGUGAAAUUCGUAGAUAUUGGGAAGAACACCGGUGGCGAAGGCGGCAUCCUGGACCAAUUCUGACGCUGAGGAGCGAAAGCCAGGGGAGCAAACGGG
rnacentral:rRNA from 1 species